rnacentral:ncRNA from 1 species
CCGGUUGCUAAUACCCCGUAGGCUGAGGAGCAAAAGGAGAAAUCCGCCCAAGGAGGGGCUCGCGUCUGAUUAGCUAGUUGGUGAGGUAAUAGCUUACCAAGGCGAUGAUCAGUAGCUGGUCCGAGAGGANUGAUUAGCUAGUUGGUGAGGUAAUAGCUUACCAAGGCGAUGAUCAGUAGCUGGUCCGAGAGGAUGAUCAGCCACACUGGGACUGAGACACGGCCCAGACUCCUACGGGAGGCAACAGUGGGGAAUUUUCCGCAAUGGGCGAAAGCCUGACGGAGCAAUGCCGCGUGGAGGUGGAAGGCCUACGGGUCGUCAACUUCUUUUCUCGGAGCUGAAAUAAAUUUUCCUCGUCCUCUAAAAAUAUAGCGGAUAAAGUGAACAUUUAUUUGGACCUCUAAUGCAAU